rnacentral:rRNA from 1 species
GGUUGAUCCUGCCAGUAGUCAUAUGCUUGUCUCAAAGAUUAAGCCAUGCAUGUCUAAGUAUAAAAGUAUUCUAUACUUGAAACUGCGAAUAGCUCAUUAAAUCAGUUAUAGUUUAUUUGAUGGUGACCUUACUACAUGGAUACCCGUAGUAAUUCUAGAGCUAAUACAUGCCAAGAAAGCCCUGUCGUAAGGCAGGGUUGUAUUUAUUAGAUAAAAAACCAUUACUCGCAAGGGUUUUUGUGGUGAUUCAUAAUAACUGUUCGAAUCGCGGCGCAAGCUGCGAUUGAUCAUU